AACUGAUACUACCUGCGGGAACCUGCGGAAGGAUCAUUAUCGAGUGUGACCCCCCUGUAAAAAAGGGGGUACCUCCCGUCCUUUUGCUAGGCCCUCCCCCUCCAAAAUUUUUUUUGACAGGGGGAAGCUUUUUCAAACCUUCUGCUUCGGUGGGUUUUAAACCCCACCGGAACAACCUCAAAAAUUCUUUAUAAUUGUUCUGUCCGAGAAAAAUUUUAUAAAAUGAAAAAACUUUCAACA
rnacentral:misc_RNA from 1 species